rnacentral:rRNA from 1 species
UACGGAGGGGGCUAGCGUUGUUCGGAAUUACUGGGCGUAAAGCGCACGUAGGCGGCUUUGUAAGUUAGAGGUGAAAGCCCAGGGCUUAACCCUGGAAUUGCCUUUAAGACUGCAUCGCUAGAAUCGUGGAGAGGUGAGUGGAAUUCCGAGUGUAGAGGUGAAAUUCGUAGAUAUUCGGAAGAACACCAGUGGCGAAGGCGACUCACUGGCCCGGUACUGACGCUGAGGCACGAAAGCGUGGGGAGCAAACAGG